UAACGCUCAACCUGAAGAGGAAGCUGACUGGAGAAGAUGGGCAAGGGGAGGAAAAGGCUCUAUCCGUGGACAAACGCGCAGAGAGGAGGGAGUUCCCCUUGAACAGAUCGCCUCCUCCUGCAGGGUGCUCGGUCUUGGUGAAGUUUAAGACUUUGGGGCUAACAGUGGAGUGAGCAUCGCUGUCUGGUUGCGCAUCAAAGCGACCCCACCCCACAUUUGUGUGAUGCCCUGCGUGGUUGUACGGCGAAACAUCACCUGAACUCCGUCUGCGUCCGUCCAGCGCGGAGAGGGAGGAGAUACAGUUAACCCUCCUGCUGCCAUGACAUUACGACAUUCAAAAAGGAAUAGAACUUAUUUAAAAUGAACGCUGACAGGCGACACAACACAGGAGCACAUUUAAAUGAAGUUACAAAUGAAAAGGUAGUAAAUCAAAAAGUGAAACGUGUGUUCAGGGUUGUCACACCUCGGUUGCAUAGAAUUCAAGGACUUUCCAGAUUUCAUCACAUUUAAAUAGCACGCGCGGCGGCAUUUACCUGCUUCCGCUUAAUAUGUCAUCAUAAAUGAUUUUAAUACAAUCUAAACUGAAUUUACAAAGAACAUGAAAAGCUUGAAGUUGUGUCAGAAAAGAAUCAGUGAAACAAAGUGGAUUUAAUGUACAGCCUACAUUCAUACAGUUACAAAAUAUUAGAAAAUCCUCAUUGAAAUUCUUGAAACUUUGUGGCGUUGAAAUAAAUCAGAACCCCGGAAAGUUUUUUUUUUUUUUUUUGCAGAAAUUUACAGAGUUUAAGUAUUGAGAGCAUAUAUGCGCAUGGAGAAACUUUUUUUCAGAAGGCAAGUGUAUGAAAAAUAUGUUUUAUUGACCUCAGGUAAAACUGACGUCCAUGAUCAUGAAAAUGAACAGAAAAAACCUUGAAAACUUUUUUUUUGUUUUGAUUUUUCCUUUUUUUAAAUUGAAUAACAUCUAGCUUUAAAUUCUAUUCUAAUAUACUGAGAAACACUUAAGAUAAUAUGUAAGGUCUUACUUCUGGUAAUGUCACCAAAAGUACAAUCUCUAAAAUAGAUAAAUUGCUUUGAUCUAUUUUAGACGUUUGUGUGACUCAGCAACUUUGAUGCCUGACAAUAUGACCUCUGCUGGAAGUUGCUUGUCAACAUUUAUAUUUAAAAUAUAUAUUUUUUUCUAUAUCUAACAAUUUAAUGACUGACAACUUUGUGUAUUAAACUAUUUUGGUUUCUGUUUGUGAGUCAAUUAGAGCUAGUUGGGACGUGACUGUAGCUGAGAAAGUUUAAUGUCGACAUAACUGUGCACCUAACAAACAAACCAAACAGUCCUGCUUCAAUAGAUUAUUUUAAUGUACAACUUUAAUAUUUCUGCAGGACUAAAAACAUUAAUUAAUGACUUAAACACAAAAAGGAACAGAUUUGAUUAAAACAAGUGAAAACAUUUCUCUCAAAAAAUAUACAAAAUCAUGUUCAAAGCACAAGUAGAAAAAAAACCAAGUAUCACAUUUUGUUUAGACAUAUCCUGGCAUAAAACGAUAAUUGAACAUAGUACAGACGGACUUCCAACAUACUUUCUCUUUAAUAUGUGAAAGACUAUUAAAAACCUGGAUAAAGAAACACAGUAGAGACAGAUGACCAAACUUGCUGCUCCCAUUUGAUACCCGGAUGAAGAGCCUUUUUCUAAAAAACUGAGCGAUCUGCCUGCAUCAUAUCAUUUGAUUUAGAAGAAAACAACAACAAAAAAAACACAGAAGUUAUCAGAUUUAUUACAAAAGUCACAAAUAUCAAAAGACUAUAAUAAAAAGACCAAAAAAACCCCCCCAAAGAUUUGAUUAAUUUUAUUACGGCGUCAUUGCGUACAAGAACUCAAAUGAAAUCCGUACAAAAACUUCAAACUUUACUCAAAGUCUGUUGGAGAAACACUAAAUAUUUACACAUCACACAAUAAACGCUUUCUAUCAUUUUUAGUUAAAAGUCACUCAAAAACGUAAGCUCCAUAAACUGAUAAAAAAAA